rnacentral:rRNA from 1 species
CCUACGGGUGGCAGCAGUGGGGAAUAUUGCACAAUGGGGGAAACCCUGAUGCAGCGACGCCGCGUGAGUGAAGAAGUAUCUCGGUACGUAAAGCUCUAUCAGCAGGGAAGAAAAUGACGGUACCUGACUAAGAAGCCCCGGCACACUACGUGCCAGCAGCCGCGGUAAUACGUAGGGGGCAAGCGUUAUCCGGAUUUACUGGGUGUAAAGGGAGCGUAGACGGCAGCACAAGUCUGGAGGGAAAUCCCGGGGCUUAACCCCUGAACUGCUUUGGAAACUGUGCGGCUGGAGUGCAGGAGGGGUAAGCGGAAUUCCUGGUGUAGCGGUGAUAUGCGUAGAUAUUAGGAGGAACACCGGUGGCGAAGGCGGCUUACUGGACUGUAACUGACGUUGAGGCUCGAAAGCGUGGGGAGCAAACAGGAUUAGAUACCCCGGUAGU